AACGAACGCUGGCGGCAUGCCUAACACAUGCAAGUCGAACGAGACCUUCGGGUCUAGUGGCGCACGUGUGCGUAACGCGUGGGAACCUGCCCUUAGGUUCGGAAUAACUCCCCGAAAGGGGUGCUAAUACCGGAUAAUGUCUUCGGACCAAAGAUUUAUCGCCUUUGGAUGGGCCCGCGUUGGAUUAGCUAGUUGGUAGGGUAAAAGCCUACCAAGGCGACGAUCCAUAGCUGGUCGGAGAGGAUGAUCAGCCACACUGGGACUGAGACACGGACCAGACUCCUACGGGAGGCAGCAGUGGGGAAUAUUGGACAAUGGGCGAAAGCCUGAUCCAGCAAUGCCGCGUGAGUGAUGAAGGCCUUAGGGUUGUAAAGCUCUUUUAGCCGGGAUGAUAAUGACAGUACCGGGAGAAUAAGCUCCGGCUAACUCCGUG
rnacentral:rRNA from 1 species